rnacentral:lncRNA from 1 species
GUCACUUUGAGACGACUAUUCCUAAAAGCCAAAUUUAACAACACAUCCAGCCUCAGACUCAGGUCCCUGGACUUUGGGACUCAUUCUGCUCAACUUGAUCCCCACUCUGCCCAUUGAUCACAUACACACGUUUACACCUGGCAGAAGAGGAAGAGGAGGCAUGAAGGAAUGGCCUCUUCAGAAUGGAGAAAAGGUAGGAAUCAUCUGGGAUUUUUACCAGAGAGAACCCCUUAGGCUGACUCAGGAGUUGAACUGAAUGUGAAAGAGACCAAGUAGGAAA